GCCGCGUGGGGGAGGAAGGCCUUAGGGUUGUAAACCCCUGUCAGGUGGGACGAACCCCGGGUCGGUUAAUAAUCGGCUCGACUGACGGUACCACCAGAGGAAGCUCCGGCUAACUCCGUGCCAGCAGCCGCGGUAAUACGGAGGGAGCGAGCGUUGUUCGGAAUCACUGGGCGUAAAGGGCGCGUAGGCGGCCGAGUAAGUCGUGUGUGAAAGACCGGGGCUCAACUCCGUGUACUGCAUGCGAUACUGCCCGGCUAGAGAAAGGUAGAGGCGAGUGGAAUUCCCGGUGUAGCGGUGGAAUGCGUAGAUAUCGGGAAGAACACCUGUGGCGAAGGCGGCUCGCUGGGCCUUUUCUGACGCUGAAGUGCGAAAGCGUGGGGAGCAAACAGGAUUAGAUACCCUGGUAGUCCACGCCGUAAACGAUGGGCACUAGGCGUUGGGAGGAUUGACCCUCUCAGUGCCGUAGCUAACGCGUUAAGUGCCCCGCCUGG
rnacentral:rRNA from 1 species